UACAGAGGGGGCAAGCGUUGUUCGGAAUUACUGGGCGUAAAGGGUGCGUAGGUGGCGCCGUAAGUCGGGUGUGAAAUCUCGGGGCUUAACUCCGAAACUGCAUUCGAUACUGCCGUGCUUGAGGACUGGAGAGGAGACUGGAAUUUACGGUGUAGCGGUGAAAUGCGUAGAUAUCGUAAGGAAGACCAGUGGCGAAGGCGGGUCUCUGGACAGUUCCUGACGCUGAGGCACGAAGGUCAGGGGAGCAAACGGG
rnacentral:rRNA from 1 species